rnacentral:rRNA from 1 species
GACGAACGCUGGCGGCGUGCUUAACACAUGCAAGUCGAGCGGUAAGGCCCUUUCGGGGGUACGACGAGCGGCGAACGGGUGAGUAACACGUGGGUGACCUGCCCUCAGCUCUGGGAUAAGCCUGGGAAACCGGGUCUAAUACCGGAUAUGACUCCAUGACGCAUGUUGUGGGGUGGAAAGCCUUGUGCGGCUGAGGAUGGGCCCGCGGCCUAUCAGCUUGUUGGUGGGGUGAUGGCCUACCAAGGCGACGACGGGUAGCCGGCCUGAGAGGGCGACCGGCCACACUGGGACUGAGACACGGCCCAGACUCCUACGGGAGGCAGCAGUGGGGAAUCUUGCGCAAUGGGCGAAAGCCUGACGCAGCGACGCCGCGUGAGGGACGACGGCCU